GAUGAACGCUGGCGGCGUGCCUAAUACAUGCAAGUCGAGCGAACGGACGAGAAGCUUGCUUCUCUGAUGUUAGCGGCGGACGGGUGAGUAACACGUGGAUAACCUACCUAUAAGACUGGGAUAACUUCGGGAAACCGGAGCUAAUACCGGGUGAUAUUUUGAACCGCAUGGUUCAAAAGUGAAAGACGGUCUUGCUGUCACUUAUAGAUGGAUCCGCGCUGCAUUAGCUAGUUGGUAAGGUAACGGCUUACCAAGGCAACGAUGCAUAGCCGACCUGAGAGGGUGAUCGGCCACACUGGAACUGAGACACGGUCCAGACUCCUACGGGAGGCAGCAGUAGGGAAUCUUCCGCAAUGGUCGAAAGCCUGACGGAGCAACGCCGCGUGAGUGAUGAAGGUCUUCGGAUCGUAAAACUCUGUUAUUAGGGAAGAACAUAUGUGUAAGUAACUGUGCACAUCUUGACGGUACCUAAUCAGAAAGCCACGGCUAACUACGUG
rnacentral:rRNA from 1 species